UUGGUACUCCAUCAAUGGUUU
ensembl:piRNA 21ur-410 ncRNA